UACGGGGGGGGCAAGCGUUGUUCGGAAUUACUGGGCGUAAAGGGCUCGUAGGCGGCCAACUAAGUCGGAUGUGAAAUCCCCAGGCUCAACUUGGGAACUGCAUCCGAUACUGGAUGGCUUGAAUUCGGGAGAGGGAUGCAGAAUUCCAGGUGUAGCGGUGAAAUGCGUAGAUAUCUGGAGGAACACCGGUGGCGAAGGCGGCAUCCUGGACCGAUACUGACGCUGAGGAGCGAAAGCCAGGGGAGCAAACGGG
rnacentral:rRNA from 1 species